CCUACGGGUGGCUGCAGUGGGGAAUAUUGCACAAUGGAGGAAACUCUGAUGCAGCGACGCCGCGUGAAUGAUGAAGGCCUUCGGGUCGUAAAAUUCUGUCCUUGGGGAAGAUAAUGACGGUACCCAAGGAGGAAGCCCCGGCUAACUACGUGCCAGCAGCCGCGGUAAUACGUAGGGGGCAAGCGUUGUCCGGAAUUAUUGGGCGUAAAGGGUUCGCAGGCGGUCUGAUAAGUCAGAUGUGAAAGACUAUGGCUUAACCAUGGUAAGCAUUUGAAACUGUCAGACUUGAGUUAAGGAGAGGAAAGUGGAAUUCCUAGUGUAGCGGUGAAAUGCGUAGAUAUUAGGAGGAAUACCAGUGGCGAAGGCGACUUUCUGGACUUAUACUGACGCUGAGGAACGAAAGCGUGGGGAGCAAACAGGAUUAGAUACCCCAGUAGUC
rnacentral:rRNA from 1 species